CGGAUCGGACUCCUUUCCUUUUGAGGCCCCGCCCCUGGUUGCGUACAAACGUACGUCACGUCCAGGCACGAGAACCUGGGAAACGACAGGGAGGCUAUAGGACGGUUGGGAGGUGGAGCUGGCCGCUUGAGCCUGCGCACACAGCCCGCCGCAGCGGCUCCCCACGGCGCCAAAGAGCAGGGGAGCGCCUCCCCUUGCAGAAGAAAGUAGGAGAGCAAGCUUGAGGCAGAGUACUGAGGAAGCGCCGUUGCCCUACUUCCGCCGUUUCCCUGUAUCGCAAAGAAACUUCCGGGGGUGGUGAAACAUCCGCCGCACCUUGGGUUGGGCUUCCAAAAUGGGAGUGCGAGCUUAAUGUCCAAGUCCGGAAAGCCCUCUCCUGUGCUGCCCUCGGCGUAGGCCGGCCGGUAGAGGACGCGGCCCCGAGCAGAGCCCUGGGUUGGGCUGUGUCCAAGUCAAAGACAGCGCCCUCUCCGGCGGAGGGGAGGAAUCCACUCUCAGUCCCACCGCCUUGGUUUUUUUCGUUCAGCCUUGUCGCACCGUUUUCUAAACCACUAAUGUCCGUACAUCAGACUGAGAUGCUUACGGGACUAAGCCUUUUAACCGCCAGCGCAUUCCAAGCGCCAUCCUGAGCUGGAUGCAAGGGACAGAGAUAGAUAACACGCUGCCUAGGUCCGUUCAGGCAAGCCGACCAGAUUUCCCUCUCCACAUACUGGCUGCCCCUCAGCUUAGAAUGUACAUGCUUUAAGCGAAGCCCUACACAGGGAUGAAAACUGAAGAACUUCAGUUCUAAUAUAAAAUUCCCAGCCAAUAGAUCUUCAAUCAAAUCAAGAGAUGCUGCUAUUAUCAGAUUUCUGGUGGGCACCUGCAAGAAGGAUGCAGCUUCACAUCCAGGUAUGACCUGGGGCAGGAACAAAGACAGAGAAGCCGAAGAGGAAUUACACCACUAAAAGUGUAGAGUCGUCUUUGAAUUACCCCAGACCCUGGAUGUUGGAGCCAAGUUUACCCAAUUCUCUAAGAAUACUGAAGCCCCUAGGUGGUAUCUGGGUUACAAUUUUAAUGGCAAAAGAAAAGGAAACCACAAAGAUUUCAUCAACAGCAACAGCAGCCUGAUUAAACAACCUGUGAUUAACUUAAAUCCGACUAACUACAAGUUGGAAUCCUAAUCCUUCACAGAUUAGGGUUUCUUUGCUCUGUUUCCCUAUCUGCAGUUGGCCUGGUGAAAUGGAAAGGUGAGGAGUUUUAAAACUCUUAAGUGUUCUUUAGACUCUAAGAAUUCCAGCCUAUAUUUGCUUCUUGGGGCACCAGCUGAUCCAAGAAGUCAAAUUUCCUGGGAACCUUAGUACAUUGAGCUGCUUUUGUUGUUGUUGUUGAGGAAGAUUGGCCCUGAGCUAACAUCUGUUGCCAAUCUUCCUCUUUUUGCUUGAGGAAGAUUUGCCCUGAACGAACAUCUGUGCCAGUCUGCCCCUAUUUUGUAUGUGGGACGCCACCACAACAUGGCCGACAAGUGGUGUAUGUCCGCGCCUGGGAUUCGAACCCGCAAACCUGGGCCAUGGAAGCAGAGCACAUGAAAUUAACCACUACACCAAGGGGCUGACCCUUUAUGGGCUGUUUUCUUGCCAUACUGAUUCAUAUACCUUGAGGCCUUAAAGCAAUUAGGUGGUGGGAGCAGGGAUUUCUGUGCUUUCUAGCCCACAUUAAGCCAAAUUUGGCCUCGAGGUAGAAUGGGAAGGUGGUAAGUACCUUGAAAAAAAUUUUCAAAAAUAGAAUGUAACUUAAGUAGAGAGAGAGACGGGUCAUGUCACAACUUUAAAUAUUACUGAAGCCUAUUUGUUGUUUGAAUUUUAUAGCAUUAAGAUUGGAAGUAGCUGGGUCAGCCCCGUGGCCAAGUGGUUAAGUUUGUGCACUCCGCUUUGAUAGCCCAGGGUUUUGCUGAUUCGGAUCCUGCAUGCGGACAUGGCAUGGCUCAUCGGGCCAUACUGAGGCAGCA